CCCCAUCUCAGGUCUCUCCUCAGUGAGAUGGUGGCUGAUUUAAGCCCCCUGCUCAGUGACAGGAACUGUCGAUUACUGAGUGCUCACCAUGUGCUGGGCCGUACUGUGCCCAGCCGUUUACACACGCUAUCUUGACUCAUCCUCCCGCACCCCCAGCAGAUGAAACUAUUCUUAGCCUCAUUUUGUGGAUGAGGAAACCAAGUCUUAGGUUCAGGGAGCUUUCCCAAGGUCACACAGCUGGACACGGGCUGAGCAAGGAGACCGGAGGAGCACACGUCUGAACCC